AGUGAACGCUGGCGGCAGGCCUAACACAUGCAAGUCGAGCGGCAGCGCGUCCGACCACCCUCGGGUGGUCGGAUGGCGGCGAGCGGCGGACGGGUGAGGAAUGCAUCGGAAUCUGCCUCGUUGUGGGGGAUAACGUAGGGAAACUUAUGCUAAUACCGCAUACGACCUACGGGUGAAAGUGGGGGACCUUCGGGCCUCACGCGAUGAGAUGAGCCGAUGCCGGAUUAGCUAGUUGGCGGGGUAAAGGCCCACCAAGGCGACGAUCCGUAGCUGGUCUGAGAGGAUGAUCAGCCACACUGGAACUGAGACACGGUCCAGACUCCUACGGGAGGCAGCAGUGGGGAAUAUUGGACAAUGGGGGCAACCCUGAUCCAGCCAUGCCACGUGUGUGAAGAAGGCC
rnacentral:rRNA from 1 species